rnacentral:rRNA from 1 species
UCGACAUCGAAAGCUUGCUUUUGAUGGGCGUCGACCGGCGCACGGGUGAGUAACGCGUAUCCAACCUGCCCAUCACUUGGGGAUAACCUUGCGAAAGUAAGACUAAUACCCAAUGAUAUCUCUAGAAGACAUCUGAAAGGGAUUAAAGAUUUAUCGGUGAUGGAUGGGGAUGCGUCUGAUUAGCUUGUUGGCGGGGUAACGGCCCACCAAGGCUACGAUCAGUAGGGGUUCUGAGAGGAAGGUCCCCCACAUUGGAACUGAGACACGGUCCAAACUCCUACGGGAGGCAGCAGUGAGGAAUAUUGGUCAAUGGACGAGAGUCUGAACCAGCCAAGUAGCGUGCAGGAUGACGGCCCUAUGGGUUGUAAACUGCUUUUAUAAGGGAAUAAAGUUAGUCUCGUGAGACUUUUUGCAUGUACCUUAUGAAUAAGGACCGGCUAAUUCCGUGCCAGCAGCCGCGGUAAUACGGAAGGUCCGGGCGUUAUCCGGAUUUAUUGGGUUUAAAGGGAGCGUAGGCCGGAGAUUAAGCGUGUUGUGAAAUGUAGAUGCCCAACAUCUGCACUGCAGCGCGAACUGGUUUCCUUGAGUACGCACAAAGUGGGCGGAAUUCGUGGUGUAGCGGUGAAAUGCUUAGAUAUCACGAAGAACUCCGAUUGCGAAGGCAGCUCACUGGAGCGCAACUGACGCUGAAGUUCGAAAGUGCGGGUAUCGAACAGGAUUAGAUACCCUGGUAGUCCGCACGGUAAACGAUGGAUGCCCGCUGUUGGUCUGAAUAGGUCAGCGGCCAAGCGAAAGCAUUAAGCAUCCCACCUGGGGAGUACGCCGGCAACGGUGCAACUCAAAUGAAUUGACGGA